rnacentral:rRNA from 1 species
GAUGAACGCUGGCGGCGUGCCUAAUACAUGCAAGUCGAGCGAACGGACGAGAAGCUUGCUUCUCUGAUGUUAGCGGCGGACGGGUGAGUAACACGUGGAUAACCUACCUAUAAGACUGGGAUAACUUCGGGAAACCGGAGCUAAUACCGGAUGAUAUUUUGAACCGCAUGGUUCAAAAGUGAAAGACGGUCUUGCUGUCACUUAUAGAUGGAUCCGCGCUGCAUUAGCUAGUUGGUAAGGUAACGGCUUACCAAGGCAACGAUGCAUAGCCGACCUGAGAGGGUGAUCGGCCACGCUGGAACUGAGACACGGUCCAGACUCCUACGGGAGGCAGCAGUAGGGAAUCUUCCGCAAUGGGCGAAAGCCUGACGGAGCAACGCCGCGUGAGUGAUGAAGGUCUUCGGAUCGUAAAACUCUGUUAUUAGGAAGAACAUAUGUGUAAGUAACUGUGCACAUCUUGACGGUACCUAAUCAGAAAGCCACGGCUAACUACGUG